rnacentral:piRNA from 1 species
UGUAAAGUGCCACAUUCCACUCCCUAGUC